rnacentral:rRNA from 1 species
AUUGAACGCUGGCGGCAUGCCUUACACAUGCAAGUCGAACGGCAGCACGGGUGCUUGCACCUGGUGGCGAGUGGCGAACGGGUGAGUAAUACAUCGGAACAUGUCCUGUAGUGGGGGAUAGCCCGGCGAAAGCCGGAUUAAUACCGCAUACGAUCUACGGAUGAAAGCGGGGGACCUUCGGGCCUCGCGCUGUAGGGUUGGCCGAUGGCUGAUUAGCUAGUUGGUGGGGUAAAGGCCUACCAAGGCGACGAUCAGUAGCUGGUCUGAGAGGACGACCAGCCACACUGGGACUGAGACACGGCCCAGACGCCUACGGGAGGCAGCAGUGGGGAAUUUUGGACAAUGGGCGAAAGCCUGAUACAGCAAUGCCGAGUGUGUGAAGAAAGCCUUCGGGUUGUAAAGCACUUUUGUCCGGAAAGAAAUCCUUGGCCCUAAUACGGUCGGGGGAUGACGGUACCGGAAGAAUAAGCACCGGCUAACUACGUG